AACGCGAAGAACCUUACCAGGGUUUGACAUCCUGUGCCACACUCAGAGAUGGGUGGUCCCCGCAAGGGGCGCAGAGACAGGUGCUGCAUGGCUGUCGUCAGCUCGUGUCGUGAGAUGUUGGGUUAAGUCCCGCAACGAGCGCAACCCUCGCCUUUAGUUGCCAUCAUUAAGUUGGGCACUCUAGAGGGACCGCCGGCGACAAGCCGGAGGAAGGUGGGGAUGACGUCAAGUCCUCAUGGCCCUUACACCCUGGGCUACACACGUGCUACAAUGGCGGUAACAAUGGGCAGCUACCUCGCGAGAGGAUGCUAAUCUCAAAAAACCGUCCCAGUUCAGAUUGCACUCUGCAACUCGGGUGCAUGAAGGUGGAAUCGCUAGUAAUCGCAGAACAGCAGGCUGCGGUGAAUACGUUCCCGGGCCUUGUACACACCGGAGUA
rnacentral:rRNA from 1 species